rnacentral:rRNA from 1 species
AUGGAGAAUGUUGUGGUGUUGAUUAUUGGCGCUGGGCCAGCAGGCCUUGCAACAGCAGCAUGCCUUAGCCAAUUCUCAAUUCCCUAUGUCAUUGUCGACCGUGAAAGUUGCGGCGCGUCGCUUUGGCGCAACCGCGCCUACGAUCGCCUCAAGCUACAUCUUGCAAAGGAGUUCUGUGAGUUGCCACACAUGUCAUACCCACUAGAUGCGCCAACAUACAUACCAAAAACCUUUUUUGUGAAGUACUUGGAUGAUUAUGUUGAGUGUUUCAAUAUUCAACCCAAGUAUCUCACUAGUGUGGAGUCAUCCACAUUUGACAAUGACGAAAAAUGUUGGUCCAUCAUGGCACAUGACAUGGCAAAGAGCACAAUAGUCAGGUUCACAGCAAAGUUUCUUGUCGCGGCAAGUGGUGAGAAUAGUGUAGAGAAUAUUCCAAUGAUCCCCGGACUGCAAAGUUUUCCAGGUGAUGUCAUCCACUCAAGCUACAAGUCAGGCAAGAGCUACUCUGGCAUGAAUGUAUUGGUCGUUGGAUCUGGCAACUCUGGAAUGGAAAUUGCUUAUGACCUUGCAGCCCAUGGUGCCAAUACUUCAAUCGUUAUACGAAGCCUAAUUCAUGUAAUGACAAAGGAAUUAAUCCGGUUGGGGAUGACACUUGCUUGCCGUCUUCCAUUGAAUCUAGUGGAUAACCUCCUUGUGAUGGCAGCAAAUUUAAUAUUUGGAGACCUAUCGAGGUAUGGCAUCAGAAGGCCAAAAAUGGGUCCAAUGAUCCUCAAGUCAGAAACCGGCCGAUCCGUUGUUAUUGAUGUUGGCACUGUUGGGUUUCUCAAAAAAGGUAUCAUCAAAGUACAGGGGAGCAUUAGUAAGAUCAUGUGCGAUAUAGUUGAAUUUCAGUGCAGUAAAAAGGAAUCAUUUGACGCGAUUGUGUUUGCAACUGGAUACAAAAGCACAGCAAAUAUAUGGCUCAAGAAUGGUGAGAACAUGUUAAAUGGUAAUGGACUGCCCAUCAAAGAAUAUCCGAAUCACUGGAAAGGUGAAGAUGGGCUCUAUUGUGCUGGGUUAGGAAGGAGAGGAUUGGCUGGUAUUGCAGCAGAUAUCGCCAAUGACAUCAAAUCAGUGAUAGGCGCUAUGUCUGGUUAA